CCUACGGGAGGCAGCAGUGAGGAAUAUUGGUCAAUGGGCGCGAGCCUGAACCAGCCAAGUAGCGUGAAGGAUGACUGCCCUACGGGCUGUAAACUUCUUUUAUAAAGGAAUAAAGUGAGGCACGUGUGCCUUUUUGUAUGUACUUUAUGAAUAAGGAUAGGCUAACUCCGGGCCAGCAGCCGCGGUAAUACGGAGGAUACGAGCGUUAUCCGGAUUGAUUGGGUUGAAAGGAGGGCUGGAUGGGUUGUUAAGUUAGUUGUGAAAGUUUGCGGCUCAACCGUAAAAUUGCAAUUGAUACUGGCAGUCCUGAGUACAAUGAAGGUAGGCGGAAUUCGUGGUGGAGCGGUGGAAUGCUU
rnacentral:rRNA from 1 species